AAAUAUAAAAUGGAUGUUAUAUGUUGGUAUUGUUGUUGCUGUCAUUGUCAUUGUUUGUAUUUUGGAUUCUGAACAUUUCAGACAUAUACAUCAAUAUUAUUUACGACAGGUGGUGCGGCUGCAAAGCUAAGGAGAGAUACAAGAAGAUGGUGGAUGAACAGGUAGAGAAGAAAAAAAGAAAGAUGCUCCGAGAGAAGAGAUGGUGGCUGAGAUUCUGAGUAAGCACAGGGGACAGGCAGCAAAAGAAACAAAUGAGAGAACCCAAAUCCACACCGAGCCGCUCCAGGAGCCGAGCAUAUCAUCAAGGAGGAUGAGAGAAAGGGAGGAAGAACUAUAUGAAGCGAAAAAAAACUGAACCAAAGACAGUGAGAGUUCACUUUCCUGAAAACUCUUCUGAUAUUCCAUGCAUUAUAAGAACAAAACUACCUGAACACAUGCUAUAGGAAAGCUCAGGACUUCAGGUCUUCAGUUACUGUAGAUACCUCCACUGAUGCUAAUAGUAAAAGACACUGAUUACACCAGCUAAAUGUAAGCAGGACGAAUUUCAAUACACGCUGCAUCUGCUGCUAAGAGCAGCCGGCCGAAAGGUGCCUACCAUUACUCCCCGCUCAAGAAUCAGAAAUGGGAAAAAUUCUAUGAAGACAGAACACUAAUGGAGGAAGAGUGGAACUGCUGGAGGCACAAAGAAAUGAGAGGAGGCCUUAAAGUACUGCCAGAAGGAAAUGCAAAAGCUGCAAAAGAGAAAAGGACGGCACAGACUGCACCAGGAGAACAAAUGAAGGACGGCAACGCUGUGGUAAAAGUGAAGGCAUAUCUCAGUGAUUUAUUUGACCCCUGUUCAGCUCAUGUGUGGAAAGGAUUAGAUGAUGAUACUGAAGCUUUAUGUUCUGAACAUUAAUAAAAUACUCUGCAUU